UCCAGGCAAAUCCGGAUAAUCAAGGCUGAGGUGUGAUGACGAGGCACUACGGUGCUGAAGUAACAAAUGCCCUGCUUCCAGGAAAAGCCUCUAAGCAUCAGGUAACAUUAAAUCGUACCCCAAACCGACACAGGUGGUCAGGUAGAGAAUACCAAGGCGCUUGAGAGAACUCGGGUGAAGGAACUAGGCAAAAUGGUGCCGUAACUUCGGGAGAAGGCACGCUGGUGUGUAGGUGAAGUCCCUGCGGAUGGAGCUGAGACCAGUCGAAGAUACCAGCUGGCUGCAACUGUUUAUUAAAAACACAGCACUGUGCAAACACGAAAGUGGACGUAUACGGUGUGACGCCUGCCCGGUGCCGGAAGGUUAAUUGAUGGGGUUAUCCGUAAGGAGAAGCUCUUGAUCGAAGCCCCGGUAAACGGCGGCCGUAACUAUAACGGUCCUAAGGUAGCGAAAUUCCUUGUCGGGUAAGUUCCGACCUGCACGAAUGGCGUAAUGAUGGCCAGGCUGUCUCCACCCGAGACUCAGUGAAAUUGAACUCGCUGUGAAGAUGCAGUGUACCCGCGGCAAGACGGAAAGACCCCGUGAACCUUUACUAUAGCUUGACACUGAACAUUGAGCCUUGAUGUGUAGGAUAGGUGGGAGGCUUUGAAGCGUGGACGCCAGUCUGCGUGGAGCCAACCUUGAAAUACCACCCUUUAAUGUUUGAUGUUCUAACGUUGGCCCCUUACCGGGGUUGCGGACAGUGUCUGGUGGGUAGUUUGACUGGGGCGGUCUCCUCCCAAAGCGUAACGGAGGAGCACGAAGGUUAGCUAAUCCUGGUCGGACAUCAGGAGGUUAGUGCAAUGGCAUAAGCUAGCUUGACUGCGAGCGUGACGGCGCGAGCAGGUGCGAAAGCAGGUCAUAGUGAUCCGGUGGUUCUGAAUGGAAGGGCCAUCGCUCAACGGAUAAAAGGUACUCCGGGGAUAACAGGCUGAUACCGCCCAAGAGUUCAUAUCGACGGCGGUGUUUGGCACCUCGAUGUCGGCUCAUCACAUCCUGGGGCUGAAGUAGGUCCCAAGGGUAUGGCUGUUCGCCAUUUAAAGUGGUACGCGAGCUGGGUUUAGAACGUCGUGAGACAGUUCGGUCCCUAUCUGCCGUGGGCGCUGGAGAAUUGAGGGGGGCUGCUCCUAGUACGAGAGGACCGGAGUGGACGCAUCACUGGUGUUCGGGUUGUCAUGCCAAUGGCACUGCCCGGUAGCUAAAUGCGGAAGAGAUAAGUGCUGAAAGCAUCUAAGCACGAAACUUGCCCCGAGAUGAGUUCUCCCUGAGACUUUAAGUCUCCUGAAGGAACGUU
rnacentral:rRNA from 1 species